GACGAACGCUGGCGGCGUGCUUAACACAUGCAAGUCAAGGAGAAACCUCGAUUCGUCGGGGAGUAAACUGGCGCACGGGUGAGUAAUAUGUAAGUAAUCUACCUUUAGGUUUAGAAUAACCCCGAGAAAUCGGGGCUAAUACUAAAUAAUACAGCAGUAUCGCAUGAUAAUGUUGUUAAAGUUGCUUUGAUUCGUCGUUGUAACGCCUAUAGAUGAGUUUGCAUCUGAUUAGUUUGUUGGUAGGGUAAAAGCUUACCAAGACUAUAAUCAGUAGCUGGUCUGAGAGGAUGAUCAGCCACACUGGAACUGAGACACGGUCCAGACUCCUACGGGAGGCAGCAGUGAGGAAUAUUGGGCAAUGCCCGAAAGGGUGACCCAGCAACGCCGCGUGGAGGAUGAAAUCCGUAAGGUUGUAAACUCCUGUUAGAGGGGACGAAAAACUAGGUUCCGUAAGGCUCCUAGCUUGACUGUACCCUCAGAGAAAGCCCCGGCUAACUACGUG
rnacentral:rRNA from 1 species